rnacentral:rRNA from 1 species
GAGGCUUUGAAGCGUGGACGCCAGUCUGCGUGGAGCCAACCUUGAAAUACCACCCUUUAAUGUUUGAUGUUCUAACGUUGGCCCCUUACCGGGGUUGCGGACAGUGUCUGGUGGGUAGUUUGACUGGGGCGGUCUCCUCCCAAAGCGUAACGGAGGAGCACGAAGGUUAGCUAAUCCUGGUCGGACAUCAGGAGGUUAGUGCAAUGGCAUAAGCUAGCUUGACUGCGAGCGUGACGGCGCGAGCAGGUGCGAAAGCAGGUCAUAGUGAUCCGGUGGUUCUGAAUGGAAGGGCCAUCGCUCAACGGAUAAAAGGUACUCCGGGGAUAACAGGCUGAUACCGCCCAAGAGUUCAUAUCGACGGCGGUGUUUGGCACCUCGAUGUCGGCUCAUCACAUCCUGGGGCUGAAGUAGGUCCCAAGGGUAUGGCUGUUCGCCAUUUAAAGUGGUACGCGAGCUGGGUUUAGAACGUCGUGAGACAGUUCGGUCCCUAUCUGCCGUGGGCGCUGGAGAAUUGAGGGGGGCUGCUCCUAGUACGAGAGGACCGGAGUGGACGCAUCACUGGUGUUCGGGUUGUCAUGCCAAUGGCACUGCCCGGUAGCUAAAUGCGGAAGAGAUAAGUGCUGAAAGCAUCUAAGCACGAAACUUGCCCCGAGAUGAGUUCUCCCUGAGACUU